rnacentral:rRNA from 1 species
UACGUAGGGUGCGAGCGUUAAUCGGAAUUACGGGGCGUAAAGUGUGCGCAGGUGGCCGCGCAAGUCGAGUGUGAAAUCCCCGAGCUUAACUUGGGAAUUGCGCUCGAAACUACGUGGCUCGAGUGUGGCAGAGGAAGGUGGAAUUCCACGUGUAGCGGUGAAAUGCGUAGAGAUGUGGAGGAACACCGAUGGCGAAGGCAGCCUUCUGGGCCAACACUGACGCUCAUGCACGAAAGCGUGGGGAGCAAACAGG